rnacentral:rRNA from 1 species
GGGGAGGUAUCAGAAGUGCGAAUGCUGACAUAAGUAACGACAAUGCGAGUGAAAAACUCGCACGCCGGAAGACCAAGGUUUCCUGCUCAACGCUAAUCGGAGCAGGGUUAGUCGGCCCCUAAGGCGAGGGCGAAGGCCGUAGUCGAUGGGAAACAGGUUAAUAUUCCUGUACUUUUUGGUACUGCGAUGAGGGGACGGAGAAGGCUAGGCCAGCGCGGCGUUGGUUGUCCGCGUUUAAGGUGGUAGGCUGGGAUCUUAGGUAAAUCCGGGAUUCCAUUAGGCCGAGAACUGAUGACGAGUGUCCAUGUGACGCGAAGUGGUUGAUGCCAUGCUUCCAGGAAAAGCCUCUAAGCUUCAGGUAUCAAGAAACCGUACUCCAAACCGACACAGGUGGUCAGGUAGAGAAUACCAAGGCGCUUGAGAGAACUCGGGUGAAGGAACUAGGCAAAAUAGCACCGUAACUUCGGGAGAAGGUGCGCUCUCUGGUGUGAAGGACUUGCUCCGUAAGCAUUAGAGAGUCGAAGUGACCAGGCCGCUGCAACUGUUUAUCAAAAACACAGCACUCUGCAAACACGAAAGUGGACGUAUAGGGUGUGACUCCUGCCCGGUGCCGGAAGGUUAAUUGAUGGGGUUAGCGCAAGCGAAGCUCUUGAUCGAAGCCCCGGUAAACGGCGGCCGUAACGAUAACGGUCCUAAGGUAGCGAAAUUCCUUGUCGGGUAAGUUCCGACCUGCACGAAUGGAGUAAUGAUGGCGGCGCUGUCUCCACCCGAGACUCAGUGAAAUUGAAAUCGCUGUGAAGAUGCAGUGUACCCGCGGCAAGACGGAUACCCCGUGAACCUUUACUAUAGCUUGGCACUGGACUCUGACACUAUCUGUGCAGGAUAGGUGGGAGACUUUGAAGCGUGGUCGCUAGACUGCGUGGAGUCAACCUUGAAAUACCACCCUGGUAUUGUCGGGGUUCUAACGCUGACCCGUCAUCCGGGUUGCGGACAGUGUCUGGUGGGUAGUUUGACUGGGGCGGUCUCCUCCCAAAGAGUAACGGAGGAGCACGAAGGUACCCUCAGCAUGGUCGGAAAUCAUGCAAUGAGCGCAAUGGUAGAAGGGUGCUUAACUGCGAGACCCACAAGUCGAGCAGGUACGAAAGUAGGUCAUAGUGAUCCGGUGGCUCUGUAUGGAAGGGCCAUCGCUCAACGGAUAAAAGGUACUCCGGGGAUAACAGGCUGAUUCCGCCCAAGAGUUCACAUCGACGGCGGAGUUUGGCACCUCGAUGUCGGCUCAUCACAUCCUGGGGCUGAAGCCGGUCCCAAGGGUAUGGCUGUUCGCCAUUUAAAGUGGUACGCGAGCUGGGUUCAGAACGUCGUGAGACAGUUCGGUCCCUAUCUGUCGUGGGCGUUGGAGAUUUGAGAAGAGUUGCUCCUAGUACGAGAGGACCGGAGUGAACGAACCUCUGGUGUUCGGGUUGUCACGCCAGUGGCAUUGCCCGGUAGCUAUGUUCGGACGGGAUAACCGCUGAAAGCAUCUAAGCGGGAAGCCUCCUUCAAGAUGAGAUCUCCCUGGGGCUUUAAGCCCCCUGAAGGGCCGUCGAAGACUACGACGUUGAUAGGUUGGGUGUGUAAGCGCUGCGAGGCGUUGAGCUAACCAAUACUAAUUGCCCGUGAGGCUUGACC